rnacentral:rRNA from 1 species
UGCCAGCCGCCGCGGUAAUACGGAGGGUGCAAGCGUUGUUCGGAAUUAUUGGGCGUAAAGCGCGUGUAGGCGGUUCGUUAAGUCUGAUGUGAAAUCCCACGGCUCAACCGUGGAAUUGCGCUUCAAACCACAUCGCUAGAGGGAGAUAGAGGAGAGCGGAACUCACGGUGGAGCGGUGAAAUGCGUUGAUAUCGUGAGGAACACCGGUGGCGAAAGCGGCUCUCUGGGUCUCUUCUGACGCUGAGGGACGAAAGCUAGGGUAGCGAACGGGAUUAGAUA